UACGUAGGGGGCAAGCGUUGUCCGGAUUUAUUGGGCGUAAAGAGCGUGUAGGCGGCCAGGUAGGUCUGCUGUGAAAACUCGAGGCUCAACCUCGAGAUGUCGGCGGAAACCAUCUGGCUAGAGUCCGGAAGAGGAGAAUGGAAUUCCCGGUGUAGCGGUGAAAUGCGCAGAUAUCGGGAAGAACACCCGUGGCGAAGGCGGUUCUCUGGGACGGUACUGGCGCUGAGACGCGAAAGCGUGGGGAGCGAACAGG
rnacentral:rRNA from 1 species